AUUGAACGCUAGCGGCAUGCCUUACACAUGCAAGUCGAACGGCAGCACGGGGGGCAACCCUGGUGGCGAGUGGCGAACGGGUGAGUAAUGCAUCGGAACGUGCCCAUCGAUGGGGGAUAACUGCGCGAAAGCGUUGCUAAUACCGCAUACGACCUACGGGUGAAAGCAGGGGACCGCAAGGCCUUGCGUCGAUGGAGCGGCCGAUGCCGGAUUAGCUAGUUGGUGAGGUAAAGGCUCACCAAGGCGACGAUCCGUAGCUGGUCUGAGAGGACGACCCAGCCACACUGGGACUGAGACACGGCCCAGACUCCUACGGGAGGCAGCAGUGGGGAAUCUUGGACAAUGGGCAAAAGCCUGAUCCAGCAAUGCCGCGUGUGGGAAGAAGGCCUUCGGGUUGUAAACCACUUUUGGCGGGAAAGAAAUGGUCUGUGCUAAUACCACGGAUUGAUGACGGUACCCGCAGAAUAAGCACCGGCUAACUACGUG
rnacentral:rRNA from 1 species